rnacentral:piRNA from 1 species
UAAAUGGAUCCAUGAUGACAACUAAGA